rnacentral:rRNA from 1 species
UUUAACCUACGGGAGGCAGCAGUGGGGAAUAUUGCACAAUGGGGGAAACCCUGAUGCAGCGACGCCGCGUGAAGGAAGAGGUAUUUCGGUAUGUAAACUUCUAUCAGCAGGGAAGAAAAUGACGGUACCUGACUAAGAAGCCCCGGCUAACUACGUGCCAGCAGCCGCGGUAAUACGUAGGGGGCAAGCGUUAUCCGGAUUUACUGGGUGUAAAGGGAGCGUAGGCGGCGAUGCAAGUCAGAAGUGAAAGCCCGGGGCUCAACUCCGGGACUGCUUUUGAAGCUGUAUGGCUAGAUUGCAGGAGA